UGAGGAAUAUUGGUCAAUGGGCGAGAGCCUGAACCAGCCAAGUCGCGUGAGGGAAGACGGUCCUACGGAUUGUAAACCUCUUUUGUCGGGGAGCAAUAAAGCGUACGCGUACGCAGAUGCGAGUACCCGAAGAAAAGCAUCGGCUAACUCCGUGCCAGCAGCCGCGGUAAUACGGAGGAUGCGAGCGUUAUCCGGAUUUAUUGGGUUUAAAGGGUGCGCAGGCGGAAAGUGCAAGUCAGCGGUCAAACGACGGGGCUCAACCCCGUCUCGCCGUUGAAACUGUCUUUCUAGAGUGGGCGAGAAGUAUGCGGAAUGCGUGGUGUAGCGGUGAAAUGCAUAGAUAUCACGCAGAACUCCGAUUGCGAAGGCAGCAUACCGGCGCUCAACUGACGCUCAUGCACGAAAGCGUGGGUAUCGAACAGGAUUAGAUACC
rnacentral:rRNA from 1 species